GACGAAGGGUGCUAGCGUUGUUCGGAUUUACUGGGCGUAAAGAGAGCGUAGGCGGUUGAUAAAGUUAGUGGUGAAAGCCCGGGGCUUAACCCCGGAAUAGCCAUUGAUACUGAUUGACUAGAGAUUGGGAGAGGGCAGUGGAAUACCCAGUGUAGAGGUGAAAUUCGUAGAUAUUGGGUAGAACACCGGUGGCGAAGGCGACUGCCUGGCCCGAAACUGACGCUGAGGCGCGAAAGCGUGGGGAGCAAACAGG
rnacentral:rRNA from 1 species